UAGGGAAUCUUCCGCAAUGGGCGAAAGCCUGACGGAGCAACGCCGCGUGAGUGAUGAAGGUCUUCGGAUCGUAAAACUCUGUUAUUAGGGAAGAACAAAUGUGUAAGUAACUAUGCACGUCUUGACGGUACCUAAUCAGAAAGCCACGGCUAACUACGUGCCAGCAGCCGCGGUAAUACGUAGGUGGCAAGCGUUAUCCGGAAUUAUUGGGCGUAAAGCGCGCGUAGGCGGUUUUUUAAGUCUGAUGUGAAAGCCCACGGCUCAACCGUGGAGGGUCAUUGGAAACUGGAAAACUGGAGUGCAGAAGAGGAAAGUGGAAUUCCAUGUGUAGCGGUGAAAUGCGCAGAGAUAUGGAGGAACACCAGUGGCGAAGGCGACUUUCUGGUCUGUAACUGACGCUGAUGUGCGAAAGCGUGGGGAUCAAACAGG
rnacentral:rRNA from 2 species